UACGAAGGGGGCUAGCGUUGUUCGGAUUUACUGGGCGUAAAGCGCACGUAGGCGGAUUGUUAAGUCGGGGGUGAAAUCCUGGAGCUCAACUUCAGAAUUGCCUUCGAUACUGGCUUUCUAGAGGCUGGAAGAGGUUAGUGGAAUUCCCAGUGUAGAGGUGAAAUUCGUAGAUAUUGGGAAGAACACCAGUGGCGAAGGCGGCUAACUGGUCCAGAUCUGACGCUGAGGUGCGAAAG
rnacentral:rRNA from 1 species